rnacentral:rRNA from 1 species
UGCCAGCCGCCGCGGUAAGACAGAGGGUGCAAACGUUGCUCGGAAUUACUGGGCGUAAAGCGCACGUAGGCGGAUUCGCAAGUCAGAUGUGAAAUCCCCGGGCUCAACCUGGGAACUGCAUUUGAAACUGCGGAUCUAGAGUGGUGGAGAGGGAAGCGGAAUUCCCGGUGUAGAGGUGAAAUUCGUAGAUAUCGGGAGGAACACCAGUGGCGAAGGCGGCUUCCUGGACAUUAACUGACGCUGAGGUGCGAAAGCGUGGGGAGCGAACAGGAUUAGAUA